UGAACGCUAGCUACAGGCUUAACACAUGCAAGUCGAGGGGCAGCAUGAGCUCAGUUAUUCUGGGUUUGAUGGCGACCGGCGCACGGGUGAGUAACGCGUAUCCAACCUGCCCAUCACUUGGGGAUAACCUUGCGAAAGUAAGACUAAUACCCAAUGACGUCUCUAGAAGACAUCUGAAGGAGAUUAAAGAUUUAUCGGUGAUGGAUGGGGAUGCGUCUGAUUAGCUUGUUGGCGGGGUAACGGCCCACCAAGGCGACGAUCAGUAGGGGUUCUGAGAGGAAGGUCCCCCACAUUGGAACUGAGACACGGUCCAAACUCCUACGGGAGGCAGCAGUGAGGAAUAUUGGUCAAUGGGCGAGAGCCUGAACCAGCCAAGUAGCGUGCAGGAUGACGGCCCUAUGGGUUGUAAACUGCUUUUAUAAGGGAAUAAAGUGGGAGUCGUGGCUCUUUUUGCAUGUACCUUAUGAAUAAGGACCGGCUAAUUCCGUG
rnacentral:rRNA from 1 species